rnacentral:rRNA from 1 species
UACGUAGGUGGCAAGCGUUGUCCGGAUUUACUGGGCGUAAAGAGCGCGCAGGCGGUCGUCCAAGUCGCGUGUGAAAGCCCCCGGCUCAACUGGGGAGGGUCACGCAAUACUGCUCGACUUGAAGGCAGGAGAGGGAAGUGGAAUUCCCGGUGUAGUGGUGAAAUGCGUAGAUAUCGGGAGGAACACCAGUGGCGAAGGCGACUUCCUGGCCUGUUCUUGACGCUGAGGCGCGAAAGCUAGGGUAGCAAACGGG